rnacentral:tRNA from 1 species
UAGCUCAGUCGGUAGAGCAUGAGACUCUUAAUCUCAAGGUUAUGGGUUCAUGCCCCAC